UACGUAGGGUGCGAGCGUUGUCCGGAAUUACUGGGCGUAAAGAGCUCGUAGGUGGUUUGUCGCGUUGUUCGUGAAAACUCACAGCUUAACUGUGGGCGUGCGGGCGAUACGGGCAGACUGGAGUACUGCAGGGGAGACUGGAAUUCCUGGUGUAGCGGUGGAAUGCGCAGAUAUCAGGAGGAACACCGGUGGCGGAGGCGGGUCUCUGGGCAGUAACUGACGCUGAGGAGCGAAAGCGUGGGGAGCGAACAGG
rnacentral:rRNA from 1 species